AACGCCGCGGGGUGGGGGGCCACGUGCUUCCGGCGUGACCUACCGACCGGAAGUGGCCUGAGUCGGGUGGGAUAGGGUGGCGCCGCUAGGCCGGGAGGGCGGAGGCCCUGAGCCCCAGCCUCCCACCUCGGGGCCACAUUGGGAACCUUAUCAACAGCAUCGACACCUCCUCUGAUGGCCCCAGCCACAAUCUCUUCCACUUCCAGCUACUUGAGUCACUUCUGGUAAGUUUUCCACCAUCUUUGGGUUUCCUGUCCAUUGCUGUCUGCUUUCCACCUCUCCAUCCACCUGUUUCUUCCCCAUCCUGGCCCAUUACCUUCACAUUCUCAAAGGCCUCCUUCCAUCCGAUGAAACCCCAAGCCAAAUCAGUUCACCAACACAUGGGUACUGAAGAAAUCUUGCCAGCCACACACCUUGGUGUAACAGAAACACGGAGUCUCCAACCUCAAUUAGACCCUCAGUCCUGCACUUCCAUCCCCACCCCUGGGUUCUCUUUUCUUCCUUUUUGUUUUUGGAAGGUGAGACAGGGUCUCGCCCAUUCACCCAGGCUAGAGUGCAGUGGUGCAAUCACAGGCUCCCGAGUAGCUG
rnacentral:lncRNA from 13 species